rnacentral:rRNA from 1 species
AGAGUUUGAUCCUGGCUCAGGAUGAACGCUAGCGGCAGGCCUAACACAUGCAAGUCGAGGGGUAACGAUGGAGCUUGCUCCAGUCGACGACCGGCGCACGGGUGAGUAUCGCGUUUGUAACCUACCUUUAACUGGAGCAUAGCCCGAAGAAAUUCGGAUUAAUACUCCAUAAUACUAUGAACUGGCAUCUUUUUAUAGUUAAAGCUCCGGCGGUUAAAGAUGGGCAUGCGUAACAUUAGAUUGUUGGUGAGGUAACGGCUCACCAAGUCUACGAUGUUUAGGGGGUCUGAGAGGAUGGUCCCCCACACUGGUACUGAGACACGGACCAGACUCCUACGGGAGGCAGCAGUGAGGAAUAUUGGUCAAUGGGCGCAAGCCUGAACCAGCCAUGCCGCGUGCAGGAAGACUGCCCUAUGGGUUGUAAACUGCUUUUAUAUAGGAAGAAACCCCUCUACGUGUCGAGAGCUGACGGUACUAUACGAAUAAGCACCGGCUAACUCCGUGCCAGCAGCCGCGGUAAUACGGAGGGUCCAAGCGUUAUCCGGAUUUAUUGGGUUUAAAGGGUCCGUAGGCGGAAUAUUAAGUCAGUGGUGAAAUCCUGCAGCUCAACUGUAGAACUGCCAUUGAUACUGAUAUUCUUGAAUAUACUUGAAGUGGGCGGAAUGUGUCAUGUAGCGGUGAAAUGCUUAGAUAUGACACAGAACACCGAUUGCGAAGGCAGCUCACUAACGUAUUAUUGACGCUGAUGGACGAAAGCGUGGGGAGCGAACAGGAUUAGAUACCCUGGUAGUCCACGCCGUAAACGAUGAUUACUCGAUAUUGGCGAUAUAAUGUCAGUGACUAAGCGAAAGUGAUAAGUAAUCCACCUGGGGAGUACGGUCGCAAGAUUGAAACUCAAAGGAAUUGACGGGGGCCCGCACAAGCGGUGGAGCAUGUGGUUUAAUUCGAUGAUACGCGAGGAACCUUACCAGGGCUUAAAUGCAAAAUGACAGAUCUGGAAACAGAUCUUCCUUCGGGCAGAUUGCAAGGUGCUGCAUGGUUGUCGUCAGCUCGUGCUGUGAAGUGUCGGGUUAAGUCCCAUAACGAGCGCAACCCCUAUUUCUAGUUGCCAGCGAGUAAUGUCGGGGACUCUAGAGAAACUGCCGGCGUAAGCCGCGAGGAAGGUGGGGAUGACGUCAAAUCAUCACGGCCCUUACGUCCUGGGCUACACACGUGCUACAAUGGUCGGUACAAAGGGCAGCUACCUGGUGACAGGAUGCUAAUCUCUAAAGCCGAUCUCAGUUCGGAUCGAAGUCUGCAACUCGACUUCGUGAAGUUGGAAUCGCUAGUAAUCGCGCAUCAGCCAUGGCGCGGUGAAUACGUUCCCGGGCCUUGUACACACCGCCCGUCAAGCCAUGGAAGCCGGGGGUACCUGAAGUCAGUAACCGCAAGGAGCUGCCUAGGGUAAAACUGGUAACUAGGGCUAAGUCGUAACAAGGUAGCC